rnacentral:rRNA from 1 species
UACGUAGGGUCCGAGCGUUGUCCGGAAUUACUGGGCGUAAAGAGCUCGUAGGUGGUUUGUCGCGUUGUUCGUGAAAACUCACAGCUCAACUGUGGGCGUGCGGGCGAUACGGGCAGACUGGAGUACUGCAGGGGAGACUGGAAUUCCUGGUGUAGUGGUGGAAUGCGCAGAUAUCAGGAGGAACACCGGUGGCGAAGGCGGGUCUCUGGGCAGUAACUGACGCUGAGGAGCGAAAGCGUGGGGAGCGAACAGG